rnacentral:tRNA from 1 species
GGGUCCAUAGCUUAGUGGUAAAGCAGUUGCCUUUUAAGCAAUUGAUGAAGGUUCGAUUCCUUCUGGACCCACCA